rnacentral:rRNA from 1 species
AUUGAACGCUGGCGGCAUGGCUAAAACAUGCAAGUCGAGCGCGAAAGAGGAGCAAUCCUCAUGUAGAGCGGCGAAAGGGUGAGUAAUACGUUCCUACGUACCUCGAGGUCAGGGAUAGCCAGGGGAAACUCUGGGUAAUACCUGAUGUGGUCGAGAGAUCAAAGGCUUGCCGCCUUGAGAGCGGGGAACGUCCUAUCAGCUAGUUGGUGAGGUAACGGCUCACCAAGGCUUUGACGGGUAGCGGGUGUGAGAGCAUGGCCCGCCACAUCGGAACUGAGACACUGUCCGGACUCCUACGGGAGGCUGCAGUAACGAAUCUUCCGCUAUGCGCGCAAGCGUGACGGAGCAAUGCCGCGUGCAGGAUGAAGCCCUUCGGGGUGUAAACUGCUGUCAGGGUUUAGAAACACAAUGAUCAAACCCAAAGGAAGAGACGACUAACUCUGUGCCAGCAGUCGCGGUAAUACAGAGGUCUCGAGCGUU